GGUUACUCAUAGGAUCUCCAGGGAGCUGCAGUGACACCAGAGGAGGGCUACUGGAAAUGGCACCAGGACAUCAUAUGUGGUGUUACCUGGAGAAUGGGAUAAAAAUGGAGACAAAGGUGAACCUGGCCUUGUUGUGGAUGAAUGUUGAAGAUAUGCUCAAGAGGAGAGAGAAGCCAGCAGGGGUGCACCUGAGGGGAUGGUUCUGAGAAGGACAGAGGCUGAGGCAGCUUUCCUGCAUCCUCAGUGGGUAGGAGACCCCUCCAACAACCCACCCACACACAUCUCCCCUGGCUGAUCCUGCCUCAUAUUUAAGCAUCUUUGGACGAUUCCGUUGCUUCUCGCAUACCAGUUCUGGACAGGCUGUGGACAAACUGCCCGUCACCUAUGUGGAGCUGUGCACACCUCCAUAAUAGGGUCACACAAUGAGGGAGCAGUUACUUACGAAAAGAGAAGAAGACGCAUGAGGCAGGUGUUGGGGUAAAUCAUCAGAAGACAAGCUGCGUGUGGGAAGCCCACAGUCUCUGCAGCAAUGGCUCCGUGCUGCCCAGGGGCUAGUUCAUGGUCUGGCUGGCUCUUUCUUCCUCAUUCCUUUGUUCUGACUCAACAAAAACAGACAUGGA
rnacentral:lncRNA from 1 species